AUGGAGCUAUUCCAUACAGCUUUAGAGUAGCUGUUUGGGAGGUCCGGAGUUUGCUCACACUCAUUUUUAUUUGCAACCAAGUUUGAAAUUGGAGAUAGCAGUUUGACUUGAAAGUAGCUUUCUGCAUCCUGCACACGUGGUGGUCAGUCACAUUCUUAAGUCUGGGCAAAAGUAAGACUGCAAUUACAAGUCAACUGCAUUGGAAAUAAGAGUCUGCUCAGCACUGGAAUACAUUUGUACAUUUUAAUUUCAGAUACUAUCUCAUUUGAAAUACUUUUGGGCACACUGGAAUUCAGGGAAUAAUGAAGAGUCUGGCUACUACAGCAGGAGGCAUUAAAACAAGCCCAGAUCGACCGGAGGAGCCAGCUGAUGCAUCCUGAGAACAGCAGACUGGUCCAGGCACGUGGCAGAAAGCAACCACCAAGGUGCACCAACAGAGUAAUUUGCACAUGGACAGAAGUAUACCGGCCUUCUUCAUUUCAAUUUUCCAGAUACAACAAGUUAUAGCAUAAUUGGCUGCUGUGAGGAAAAAACAAGGGAAGAUUACAUCACUGCUUUAAGUACAAUGCUACUUCUCUUAGAGUCAGUAAAGAUUUGGGAUAUUUCCAAGCUGUAUCAACCAACUGUAUGAGCUUAUGAGGCAAUAUUUCUAUCCUUCACCAAUAUUUCUAAGUGUUAAGCCAAUAAAUUAUUAUGAUCCUUUUUUUUAGCUCUUGGA
rnacentral:lncRNA from 1 species